CGUGCGAGGCAGCGAGAGUAGUGGGGACAGCCAACAAUUGAGCGGUGGGCGACUGUCCCAGUUUUCUCUCCUUCUACAUCCAGUCCUCUUCCUUCAUCCCCACCUCUCCCUUCCACCAACCCCCGCCGCCGGCGUAUGGAAGCCACGGGCUCCCCUAUGCAUCCUCGCAGGAUUCCAACCCCCGGCACUCUCCGCUCAUCCGUGCCGCACGCCGCCACUUCCUCCCCCAUAGGAACACCUCGAGGUUGAACCCGACGUGUCCUACCCGUUGCCCGAGGUCAAAGUUUGUUCAUCAUCCGAGCUCAUUUAGAUACAAGAGGAUGCUGCCAUUUCUCAUGGAGAACGGUGGCCAAGCUUAGAAAAUUUUCUUAAGAUAAACAAACUGUCAUCAGAUGAGAUUUAAUCUGCCACCGUAGAAGUUUCUCUGGAGAGCACUGUAGAAAGCCACACCAGAAUAAGAGUUAGCUUCAGUUGGGGACCCACUGCCGUGCGUACAUUGCUCCAAAGGUUUUGCAGGUUAUGGGAGUAAAGGAGCUGCUCUAGAUUUGUGCACAUCAUUCUCAGCUACAAAGUCACAUAUACUACUGUGUGGAAAGAUCAAACGAAAAAAAACAAACCAGAUUAUUGUCUAGUUUGUAGCUAUGUUUUCAUAGUACCUACAAAAUACAUUUCUUUUUUUGGUACAUGGACAUAUGUCCUGCUGUUUUAUGUGUGAAAUAAGACUCUCUAUGCACUCUCCUAUAUAUUUGCACAUUUUCUGCAUUUUUUGCACAUAGUGCUACAAAUGUUGGCUUGUCACAUGAUUUGGUUGCAUGGAAACCAGUUAAAAUUGCACAGGUACAAGAUCUCCAUAUUUUUUUAUCUCUGUUUAUGCUCUCUUCAACUAUGAAGAAGCUACUUUUGCAAAGAGAAAUUUUGUGAGGGGGAAAGGGGAAGUCAAUGAGGGGGGAUUUGAAUAUGAGAAGAAAAGGAUCACCUCCUGUUUUAUCCUUCUUGGUGCUACCUGCUCUGGGAUGGAGUCCAAACCUAGGAAACCAUUGUUUCUUGGGGAAGAAGAAGGCAAGGCAGGUAAGGGCGUGGAGAAGUUGGUGGCUAGUGGGUGUGAGAGCUUUGGGAGGGAAGGGAAGUGCACGUGAUGGCCUGGGGUCUGGGGACCGCGCCCAGCAUGUGGUUUGCUGGGUUACGCGCGUCUAUUGCUACUAGGGGAGACCUACCCUUUUCUGGGAUAGGAGGGGGGACCGUAUAUUUCCUUUUCUGACGGCCGCUCGGGAUUGCUAGCGGGCAGACGGCCGCCCAAUUUUUUGUUGUACAUGUGAUGACAUGGACAUCGUGAGGAGGCGCCAUAGUCGUGACGGUUAAUGGGUUUUACAGUCUCUAUUUUUUCUGGGAGAGACAUACUCUUCUCAAAAUAAAAAUUAAAUAAAAAAGAUC